rnacentral:rRNA from 1 species
AGUGAACGCUGGCGGUAGGCCUAACACAUGCAAGUCGAACGGCAGCACAGUAAGAGCUUGCUCUUACGGGUGGCGAGUGGCGGACGGGUGAGGAAUACAUCGGAAUCUACUUUUUCGUUGGGGAUAACGUAGGGAAACUUACGCUACUACCGCAUACGACCUACGGGUGAAAGCAGGGGAUCUUCGGACCUUGCGCGAUUGAAUGAGCCGAUGUCGGAUUAGCUAGUUGGCGGGGUAAAGGCCCACCAAGGCGACGAUCCGUAGCUGGUCUGAGAGGAUGAUCAGCCACACUGGAACUGAGACACGGUCCAGACUCCUACGGGAGGCAGCAGUGGGGAAUAUUGGACAAUGGGCGCAAGCCUGAUCCAGCAAUACCGCGUGGGUGAAGAAGGCCUUCGGGUUGUAAAGCCCUUUUGUUGGGAAAGAAAAGCAGCAGGUUAAUACCCCGCUGUUCUGACGGUACCCAAAGAAUAAGCACCGGCUAACUCCGUG